rnacentral:rRNA from 1 species
AGAGUUUGAUCAUGGCUCAGAUUGAACGCUGGCGGCAGGCCUAACACAUGCAAGUCGAACGGUAACAUUUCUAGCUUGCUAGAAGAUGACGAGUGGCGGACGGGUGAGUAAUGCUUGGGAACUUGCCUUUGCGAGGGGGAUAACCGUUGGAAACGACUGCUAAUACCGCAUAAUGUCUACGGACCAAACGGGGCUUCGGCUCCGGCGCAAAGAGAGGCCCAAGUGAGAUUAGCUAGUUGGUAAGGUAACGGCUUACCAAGGCGACGAUCUCUAGCUGUUCUGAGAGGAAGAUCAGCCACACUGGGACUGAGACACGGCCCAGACUCCUACGGGAGGCAGCAGUGGGGAAUAUUGCACAAUGGGGGAAACCCUGAUGCAGCCAUGCCGCGUGUGUGAAGGAGGCCUUCGGGUUGUAAAGCACUUUCAGUUGUGAGGAAAAGUUAGUAGUUAAUACCUGCUAGCCGUGACGUUAACAACAGAAGAAGCACCGGCUAACUCCGUGCCAGCAGCCGCGGUAAUACGGAGGGUGCGAGCGUUAAUCGGAAUUACUGGGCGUAAAGCGCACGCAGGCGGUUUGUUAAGCUAGAUGUGAAAGCCCCGGGCUCAACCUGGGAUGGUCAUUUAGAACUGGCAGACUAGAGUCUUGGAGAGGGGAGUGGAAUUCMARGUGURGGYRGYGAACAKGMKUAGAUAYCYGGWRGAMCAUCASYGKMRAAGSYGWCUACUAGCUGUGUGUGUCUUUAAGACGUGCGUAGCGAAGCUAACGCGCUAAGUAGACCGCCGGGGAGUACGGCCGCAAGGUUAAAACUCAAAUGAAUUGACGGGGGCCCGCACAAGCGGUGGAGCAUGUGGUUUAAUUYGAUGCAACGCGAAGAACCUUACCUACACUUGACAUGCUGAGAAGUUACUAGAGAUAGUUUCGUGCCUUCGGGAACUCAGACACAGGUGCUGCAUGGCUGUCGUCAGCUUGUGUCGUGAGAUGUUGGGUUAAGUCCCGCAACGAGCGCAACCCUUGUCCUUAGUUGCCAGCCUUAAGUUGGGCACUCUAAGGAGACUGCCGGUGACAAACCGGAGGAAGGUGGGGWCGACGUCAAGUCAUCAUGGCCCUUACGUGUAGGGCUACACACKUGSUACAAUGGCAUUUACAGAGGGAAGCGAGWCAKUGAUGUGGAGCGGACCCCUUAAAGAAUGUCGUAGUCCGGAUUGGAGUCUGCAACUCGACUCCAUGAAGUCGGAAUCGCUAGUAAUCGCAGGUCAGAAUACUGCGGUGAAUACGUUCCCGGGCCUUGUACACACCGCCCGUCACACCAUGGGAGUGGGAUGCAAAAGAAGUAGUUAGUCUAACCUUCGGGAGGACGAUUACCACUUUGUGUUUCAUGAMUGGGGUGAAGUYGUAACAAGGUAACCCUAGGGGAACCUGCGGUUGGAUCACCUCCUUAAGGG